CUGACCUUGUAAGACUGUUGCGUGUAUUGGGUGCCUUUUGACAUCACCACAAGGGAGCUUCCAUUGUUUGCACCAGCAAUAGAACUAAUGUAAUAGUUCUUCUCCCAUUGUUCCAUGAUCCAUUCCUUGUGUAAGAAAAGAGGUGACAGUUCAUAAACUUGGUUUGUAAAACCAGUUCCGGCAUCCAUAAUUAAUGCCCAAAGAUUAGAACAAGAUGCUACACUACUUAUGAGCAGACCAUCAGCAAUUCCUUUCUCCACAUGUUGAGCCAACCUUCCA
rnacentral:misc_RNA from 1 species